rnacentral:ncRNA from 1 species
UUCCCCUCAAGAUAGCUGGAGUGCGCAAUGAAGCUGUUAUAUUCGGUAAAGCGAAUGGUAAAAAGAACUGUAGGACAAACAUUUUCAAUCUCUUCUCAAAUUUCCAAUGAGUAUGGCGUCUCGCUUGCUUGAAUGAAGCAUAGACAUUGAGUGUGUGCUUCACGUACGCCAUUUUGAUUACCGAAAAUACUUCACGUACGCCAUUUUCGGUAAACAAAACUGGCACUAUGGAUGAACGG